GGGCGCUUAGCUCAGCUGGUUAGAGCGCAGCCUUCACACGGCUGAGGCCCGCGGUUCGAGUCCGCGAGCGCCCACCA
rnacentral:tRNA from 1 species